UACGUAGGGGGCAAGCGUUGUCCGGAAUUAUUGGGCGUAAAGCGCGUGUAGGCGGCUUUGCAAGUCGGGUGUGAAAGCCCUCAGCUCAACUGAGGAAGUGCGCCCGAAACUGCAGAGCUUGAGUGCCGGAGAGGGUGGCGGAAUUCCCCAAGUAGAGGUGAAAUUCGUAGAUAUGGGGAGGAACACCGGUGGCGAAGGCGGCCACCUGGACGGCAACUGACGCUGAGACGCGAAAGCGUGGGGAGCAAACAGG
rnacentral:rRNA from 1 species